rnacentral:rRNA from 1 species
UACGUAGGGUCCGAGCGUUGUCCGGAAUUACUGGGCGUAAAGCGUGCGUAGGUGGUUUGUUAAGUCUGUUGUGAAAGCCCCGGGCUCAACCUGGGAAUGGCAAUGGAUACUGGCAAGCUAGAGUGCGGUAGAGGGUAGUGGAAUUCCCGGUGUAGUGGUGAUAUGCGUAGAUAUCGGGAGGAACACCUGUGGCGAAGGCGGCUUUCUGGGCCUUACCUGACGCUGAGACGCGAAAGCGUGGGGAGCGAACCGG